UACGGAGGGUGCAAACGUUGCUCGGAAUCAUUGGGCGUAAAGCGUACGUAGGCGGUCCAGCAAGUCGGGUGUGAAAUCCCUGGGCUUAACCGAGGAAGUGCAAACGAAACUACUGGACUUGAGUACUGAAGAGGGUCGCGGAAUUCCCGGUGUAGAGGUGAAAUUCGUAGAUAUCGGGAGGAACACCAGUGGCGAAGGCGGCGACCUGGGCGAGAUGACUGACG
rnacentral:rRNA from 1 species